rnacentral:lncRNA from 1 species
UGUAACUGUGUUCGAGAUUGUUUGUUUUUACCGGUUUUUAGUUUUUACGAGGCAAAUUCUACCAGAAAUUUGAUACGUAAAAACAAGUCCCGUAGUUGUAGACUAAUCAUGGUUGUUUAGUGUUACAUAAAUUUUUUGAUUCUACUGUUGCUAGAAGAUCAUUGGCAUUCCCAAUUGACAACAUCCUGACUAUUUCAUAUAUGUACUAGUACAUCUACUAGUACUAAACACAACUUUAGCUACCAGACAUCAGCUGCUUUAAGACCCAAAAAUUGUCGAUGGAUGAAACAGGCCCUCUCUAACAGAUAAAGGUAGAACUGUACUGCUAUACUUGAACUAGCCUACAUGUGUAAUUGAAACAGUCUGUGGCUAUUUUCACAAAAGAAAUAAGACAACUGUCAAGAUUCUACUAUGUGGAUUGGAUCAGAUCAUCUAUUAAUCCUGCAUCGCUAUUAAGUAUUCGAUGGUGGAAAACUGGAAACUGACGAGAGAUCAGUGACGAUAGUCAUACGAUGUACGAGAUAGUCAUCAUACAAUAAUUCUGGCAUUAUUACGAAAAUUUGAUCAUCCGAGAUAGUCAACAGUACCUCUCACUGGCGUGCCGUCCUUUCGUCGCUCCGAUUGAGCCUGCACCAUGGCCUGAUCCAACUACGCGGCCACCAGCAUCAUUCGACUACCCAACCGACUGCCGGUGAGUCG